rnacentral:rRNA from 1 species
UGAGUAAUGUCUGGGAAACUGCCUGAUGGAGGGGGAGUAACUACUGGAAACGGUAGCUAAUACCGCAUAACGUCGCAAGACCAAAGAGGGGGGACCGUGCGGGGCCUCUUGCCAUCGGAUGUGCCCAGAUGGGAUUAGCUAGUAGGUGGGGUAACGGCUCACCUAGGCGACGAUCCCUAGCUGGUCUGAGAGGAUGACCAGCCACACUGGAACUGAGACACGGUCCAGACUCCUACGGGAGGCAGCAUG